rnacentral:rRNA from 1 species
GAUGAACGCUGGCGGCGUGCUUAACACAUGCAAGUCGAACGAAGCACUCUAUUUGAUUUUCUUCGGAAAUGAAGAUUUUGUGACUGAGUGGCGGACGAGUGAGUAACGCGUGGGUAACCUGCCUCAUACAGGGGGAUAACAGUUGGAAACGACUGCUACUACCGCAUAAGCGCACAGGAUUGCAUGAUCCGGUGGGAAAAACUCCGGUGGUAUGAGAUGGAGCCGCGUCUGAAUAGCCAGUUGUCAGGGGAACGGCCUACCAAAGCGACGAGCAGUAGCCGACCGGAGAGGGUGACCGGGCACAUUGGGACUGAGACACGGCCCAAACUCCUACGGGAGGCAGCAGUGGGGAAUAUUGCACAAUGGGGGAAACCCUGAUGCAGCGACGCAGCGUGAGCGAAGAAGUAUUUCGGUAUGUAAAGCUCUAUCAGCAGGGAAGAAGAAUGACGGUACCUGACUAAGAAGCACCGGCUAAAUACGUGCCAGCCGCCGCAGUAA